AGAUCAAACUAUAAUGAUGUUGCUUAUACUAUGUAAGUAUGGUCCUUCUGCAACAGAGAAAGAAAAUUAUGAUUAUGGAAAACAGUUAUGGAAGCAGAAAAACGACAGAAUCUUGAAGUUCCAGACUACCACUUGGCAAUGGAACCCCAACACACGUUUCUUCUUGGUUCGGUGGUCACAUCUUGUAUUGGAUAGAGUUGGAGACAGAGAAAGGUCGUCUUUCUGUAGGUUCACCCCCCAAAAUGGCCACUAUGGCCGAAACUAUGUCGAUCUGAAGCCAGGAGCCAGGUGGUUCCUCCUGAUCUCCCAUGUGGGUACAGGGGCCCAAGUACUUGGGCCAUCCUCCACUACCUUCACGGGCCACAGCAGAGAGCUGGACUGGAAGAGGAGCAGCCUGGACUAGAACCCGACACCCAUAUGGGAUGCUGGUGCCACAGGUGGAGGAUUAACCAAAUGUGAUACAGUUACCCAUGUGGGUCCCAGAUGAGGUCACAAUGUCCUUGGAGAGGUAGAGUGGUAUUUGACCUAGACGGAAGAACUGAAGAGAAGGUGACAGGGUAGGCAGAGACAAGCUAUGGAGUAUCAGCUGCCACAGGAAUCUGGGGGAGGUAAGAGCAUGUUGUCCUCAGGAGCCUCUGGAGGGAAACGAACAUAUGGACAUCAUAGUGUUAGCCCAGCAGCAAUGACCCCUGAUGAUUUCUGGCCUCUAAAACUGGGAAGAAAUAUCUGUUGUUUCAAGGCACCCAUUUUAUAGCAAUUUCUUAUAGUGAUCAUAGGAUACCAUGGUAUUUCUUAAUGAUUUCUUCUUAAAAUGUUUGCUGUAAGUUUUAAUUACAUUCUCUUUAUGAGAUUGAGAAUUUAGAGGUUCUUCUUAGUGUUUGAAGAGUUUUUGUGGUGAAUGGGUGAUGAAUAAAUUUUUGUAUUGAUUAUUUCCUUUUACCUUUUAACACAAAUGAUGCACAUACACAUAGGUUGUUCUAAAUAUAAACUGUUUGCUUUCCUAAGAUAAACUCAACAUGUGCAUCAUGUUUUAUGUUUUAAUAGAUAAGAUUUGUUAAAAUUUAUUGAGAAUUUUAUGUCUACAUUUACAUGAACUGAAUUAUACUAUUCCUUUCUUGUACUGUAACUUUUUUAUUUUGGUGUAAGAUAAAAUAGCUGUAAACGAUUAGCUUGUGCUUGAUUUAUUUGUAUUUACUAGUGAUGUUUAUGUAAGAAUUGAUUAUCAAUUCCAAAGCCAGGUUUAAAUUUACUCUAUACAAGGAAGGUGAUAGUAAUGAUCCUCCAAAAAGUAAUUUUGAUAAACUCAAAUUUAACAAUAUUUUUAUGGUAUUAUGGAAUGGGUCAUGAAUUCAAUCCAUUUAACAAAUCAGAGUUAAU